rnacentral:rRNA from 1 species
UACAGAGGGUGCAAGCGUUAAUCGGAAUUACUGGGCGUAAAGCGCGCGUAGGUGGCUUGGUCAGUCGGAUGUGAAAGCCCCGGGCUUAACCUGGGAAUUGCAUUCGAUACUGCCAGACUAGAGUGUAGUAGAGGGAAGCGGAAUUCCAGGUGUAGCGGUGAAAUGCGUAGAUAUCUGGAGGAACAUCAGUGGCGAAGGCGGCUUCCUGGACUAACACUGACACUGAGGUGCGAAAGCGUGGGGAGCAAACAGG